rnacentral:rRNA from 1 species
UACGUAGGGGGCAAGCGUUGUCCGGAUUUAUUGGGCGUAAAGAGCUCGUAGGCGGCUUGGCAAGUCGGGUGUGAAAACUUCAGGCUCAACCUGGAGCGGCCACUCGAUACUGCCAUGGCUUGAGUCCGGUAGGGGACCACGGAAUUCCUGGUGUAGCGGUGAAAUGCGCAGAUAUCAGGAGGAACACCAGUGGCGAAGGCGGUGGUCUGGGCCGGAACUGACGCUGAGGAGCGAAAGCGUGGGUAGCAAACAGG